AUGGAGAACCCCGACGGGCAAGCGGGAGCCGACGCGGGGCUGCCCCCGCCCCCACCGCCGCCCCUGGACGCCGCAGCGGGGGCGGGCCUGGGCGGCGACCCGGCCGAGGUCCUCCCGCCGCCGCCCCCGCACCUCCCGGGGGGCGCCCCGCACGAAGUGGCGGCGCAGGGGCCCGACGGAUCCGCGUACCCGGCCGAGCACGCCGCGCUGAACGGGACCUCCGGCGACGCGGCGGGCUACCAGGCCGCGGAGAACGGCGCCGCCGCCGACGAGAUGGCCGACCCCAUGGUGCCCGAGCAGUCGUACGAGGAUGCCGUGGGUUCUGCUGAAGAGGCUAGGUUAUGGGGUAUCGUCACUGCAGAUUGCUUAGACUUUGAUGCUUGGACCGCGCUUAUUGAGGAGACAGAGAGGAUCGCUGAGAGCAACAUAUUGAAGAUACGCAAAGUGUAUGAUGCCUUCCUUGCGGAGUUCCCUCUGUGCUUUGGCUAUUGGAAGAAAUACGCAGAUCAUGAAGGCCGUCUAGAUGGUGUCAAUAAAGUUUUUGAGGUGUAUGAACGGGCAGUUCUUGCAGUUACUUAUUCAGUGGACAUAUGGUGUAAUUAUUGUCAGUUUGCGAUUUCAACAUACAACGACCCAGAUGUCAUCAGAAGACUGUUUGAUCGGGGUUUGGCAUAUGUUGGAACAGAUUAUCGUUCCAAUACUUUGUGGGAUGAGUACAUCAAGUAUGAGGAAUCACUUCAAGCAUGGAGUCAUCUAGCUGUGGUAUACACAAGAAUAUUAGAGCACCCUAUACAGCAGCUUGAUCGGUACUUUAAUUGCUUGAAGGAGUUGACUGCAACACGGAGCCUGUCAGAAAUACUUACUGCUGAGGAAACUUCCAUGUAUUGUCUUACUGUUGAGAAUAGUGCUCAGGUACUUGAUGGGGAGGCACAUCCUAAUGAUGUAGAAAAAACUGCAGAGCCUGAAGUUUCAUCUUCAACAGAAGCAGAGGACAAGGCAAAAUAUAUUUCCAUUAGAGAAGAGUUGUAUACGAAGGCCAAAGAGUAUGAAUUUAAGAUUAGUAGUUUUGAGCAUGCUAUUAGAAGACCAUACUUUCAUGUCAAGCCUCUUGACAAACCAGAGCUUGAAAAUUGGCACAGCUAUCUUGAUUUUAUCGAGAAGGAAGAAGACAUUAAUAAGGUUAUCAAGUUAUAUGAAAGAUGUGUUAUUGCGUGUGCUAGCUAUUCAGAAUUCUGGAUCCGCUAUGUGCAAUGCAUGGAGGAUAGACAAAGCCUAGAACUAGCAAACAAUGCUCUUGCUCGUGCCACUCAUGUGUUUGUCAAGAAGCAGACAGAGAUCCAUCUGUUCAGUGCAAGAUUCAAGGAGCUUACUGGUGAUACUGAUGGAGCACGUGCAGAGUAUCAACAUCUCCACUCAGUGUUAUACCCUGGCCUCCUCGAAGCCAUUGUGAAGCAUGCUAAUAUGGAGCACCGGCUGGGAGAUAAGGAAUCUGCUUGUUUAGUCUAUGAGAAAGCCAUUGCUGCUGAAAAGGAGAAGGAGCAGAGCCAGCUUUUACCAAUGCUACUGAUCCAGUACUCACGUUUCUUAUAUAUGGUCGGUGACUUGGAAAAGGCAAGGGAGAUCUCAGGUGGACUGCACGGGCUAGCUAACCUUACUAAACCAGUUCUUGAGGCUGUCAUCUUUCUUGAGUCGAUCUUCCAAUCUGAGAAGCGUAUUGAUUUGUUAGAAUCACUGGUGGAGAAGUUUCUUACAGCUGAACAGACUCAAGGGGAGCUGGCAAGCUUAAGUGACAAAGAAGAAUUAUCUUCCAUAUAUUUAGAGUUUUUGGAUACGUUUGGGGAUGUACAGUCAAUCAAGAAGGCUACAACUCGACAUACUAUUCUCUUUUCACGUAAAAGGAGCAUUCUGCCAUCAAAGAAACGAAGAGCAGAUGAUGCUGUCAUGUCCGGUAGAGAUAAAAUGGCUAAAACCGGAGAUGGCACCCAACCAGGCAUGGGAACUGAUCCGAAUGCUCAUAAUCCUGCAGUUUGGCCUGUGACUUCUGAAGCAUCAGCGCAGCAAUGGGGGGCUGCUUACGCACAACAGGCUGCUUAUCCUGCAUAUGGAGCUUACGACUACAGCCAACAAAUGCCCCAAUCGGCUCCUCAAGCAGCCGCUUAUGGUGCCUAUCCUCCCACAUACCCUGCCCAGGCCUACCCGCAGCAGAGCUAUGCACAACCUGCAGCGAUGCCCGUGGCAGCAGCAGUGCCCACCCCAGCACAGGCGCCGGCACCCGCAGCAGCUUACCCUCAGCAACCUGCCGUGGCUGCCGCCCCCCAAGCUUACUACGGCGGCGCCGCCACGUACUACUGA
rnacentral:rRNA from 1 species